AGUCACACACUAUUGAGUGGAGGUGGAGGUGGAGGUGGUGGGGAGGAGGGUGACAUUCACCCAGUCGGGGUAGCGAUGGUGGAGGAGCCCCUCUCCAGUUUUCGCCGCGUAUUCGCUACACACACGAGUGCGAACAGCACGAAUGAAGGUGGAGAGGAGGUAGCGCACACACUCCGAUCAUACA
rnacentral:ribozyme from 1 species